AAUAAAAUAUCAAAUCAAAAUUAUUUCAAUGAUUUAAUUAAUAAUGUAGUAUUGGAAUUCGAUGAUGUAAAGAAAUUCAGUGAUAAUUUCGAUGAAUAUGCAAAUCGUUUGAAUGAAAAUGAACUUGUUUUUAGACGUACACGUAAGCCUAUAAAUGUGCUGAAAUGUAUGUUUUAUAUUGAGGAGAUUAAAUGCUUGUUAACACAGUUUCCACAGAAAAUUGAUCGCAAUUCAAUCCAAGAAUUUUGCAAGAUAGAAAUGUCUCACUAUGAGAAGCUAUCUUCGAUACGAAAUGAGUUGGACAGAUAUAUAAAGAAACCUGAAA